UCUGAAAAAUAAAAAAUAUCAAACAUUGUUCUUCAUCUUUUUAAGGUUGUCUAGCGUUAUUCUCUCCUCUUCCUAUCUCUCCUUCUCUCUCUCCCUGGAGCUCGAUCUCUCUCAUCUGUCUCACAGUGGCGGCGCACUCGAGCUCUCUCCCUCUCUCGUCUCCGGUCUCGCAAUCAAGGUCGUUGUCGCUCUUCUCGUCUCCGGGACUGCUCGUCGUCGUUGCUCUCUGUCUCGUCAUUGUCUUGCACUCAGUCGCACGCCUUCGUUGUGCUCGUCGGCGGCGGCGGCAGAAGCAGUAGGUCCUGGGACUCGUCGUCUUCUUGCUUCGAGUCUCGCCGUCAGCUUCCUUCACACAAUCAGAAGCUGCUUCCCGAUUUGAAGCUGCAGGAAGUUUCUUCCUACAUAUUUUCACCUGAUUUUGGCAAGGCAAGAACAUGGAAAAGGGUCGGACACUGGUGAUUGGCGAGUACUUCAUUUGCAAAAGUUGAUAUCACUUGCUUAUCAGGUGCUGCUUACAUACUAGAAUAUACUAGCAUAAAUGUUUUACCUAUUGCACUUUGAUUGGUAUUGAAGACAAUAAUAAUUUAUUAACCGGUCGCCUUUGAUGAGUGGAGGCACUACAUUUGAUAACGGAAAUAUUGAAGUCAUGGGUGACACUGAGUAGCGAUAAUCAGAAAUCUAGAAUGCAGUCGAAAAGGUUCAUAAGAGUAAUUUGGAUAAGCUCUCCAAUUUAAUGAAAGCCUAAAGGGAAUAAAGCUUGACUUGGGUUCAGCACCUGAUGAAUUGCCGCAUCCAAAUUCUGACCAACUAAAAUGGACGGCGAUAACUUCCAGUGCCACUCAAGGUGAUACUCUUCCGCAACCACAAACAGCAGAAUCAGCCAGGAAUGUUUUCUUGGUACUAGAUCUAAAUAUGAUGCUGUCCGAGGAUGAUUCUUACAUGGACAUCCAACAUGGGAUGAGUUGAGAAAUGCCACCACGACAACAGUUGAUGCUCCAUCAUGCUAGAUUUCUGAAUGUUUGAACAAGCUGAGAAACUCCAUGUUUUCAAUCAGAGGCUUCGCAAGGUGUUAGGUUUGAACAAUUGUAGAACACUGUACAGGCCAAGAGUUUUUGUGAGGCUCUUAAUAAUAGCAAAAAUUACAAAGGAAGUCUUGAAUGGGACAAACAAACUUGAUCUAUCUGCCAACUUUGCUAAAGGAAGAAGUGGUAGUCAUGAAUUAAGUGUUUCUUUUAAUUCUUUUUUUCUUUGUUAGUUCUAGAAUUAGAGGGCUAUAUAGGUGAUGCUUAAGUAGCAAGUUUAUACUAAUUCACCAAUCAUCAAGAAGCUCUAUUAUUAUUAAUAAACUUGUAUUCCUUAUCUCA